rnacentral:rRNA from 1 species
UUUGACCCUAGUACGAGAGGACCGGGUUGAACGUACCUCUGGUGUACCGGUUGUUCUACCAAGAGCAUGGCCGGGUAGCUACGUACGGAACAGAUAAGCGCUGAAAGCAUAUUAAGCGCGAAACUGACUUCAAGAUUAGAUUUCCCUAUGAGAUCCCUGAUAGACGAUCAGGUUGAUAGGUGCAAGGUGGAAGUGCGGCAACGCAUGGAGCCGAAGCAUACUAAUAGAUCCAUUGAUUUUUUAUG